rnacentral:hammerhead_ribozyme from 1 species
AUCCAUCUGAUGAGUCCCAAAUAGGACGAAACGCGCGUCCCGGAU